UACAGAGGUCCCAAGCGUUGUUCGGAUUCAUUGGGCGUAAAGGGUGCGUAGGCGGUCUGCUAAGCGUGUGGUGAAAGCUCGGGGCUCAACCCCGAGUCGGCCGUGCGAACUGGUGGACUGGAGCAUGUCAGAGGCAGGCGGAAUUCCGGGUGUAGCGGUGGAAUGCGUAGAGAUCCGGAAGAACACCGGUGGCGAAGGCGGCCAUCUGGCUCGGUACUGACGCUCAGGUUCGAAAGCGUGGGGAGCAAACAGG
rnacentral:rRNA from 1 species